UUCUUUCUUGCUUGCUUUUUUAUUUUCUUCUCUCCCCCACCGCCAUUUAGCUAUUGCUGGCUUGCCAGAGAUCUUGAACUUGAGAAAGGUUAGACAUCACAAUGCUGGAGCAGUUUGUGAGCAUCAGCAGAUUUAGCUUGUAAUUUCAUUGAUCUAUGUGGGCUUGCUGUUUGCAAACCAGCUGCUGCACUGUUUCCCCACAGCUACUGAUCUGAGUAGCAUUGAUUUUUUCCCUUACAUUAACAUAGCAUUACUUCUUUAAUGGGCAUUAAAUGACUGGAUGUAAAUACAAACAGGGCUGCAACAACAAAAGAGAAAUAAAUGCAUUAGUUCUUUUUAUUUAAAGAACUCUAUUAAUAUUUUCCACAAAAAAAAAAUUAAAAGCAUGAGUUAUUGAUCAAGAUAAAUGCUACUUUUCAUGGGUUUAUUUCCACACAUUUCUUUUGCCAAGAAAAUGUCUUUUUUUCUUACUGCAUUUACUCAUAGCCCAAAAUGUUGCAUCUUACAAAGGCUGCAUUUUUUUUUCUCAGUAUAAAUGGUAAAAUAGAUUUUUUUAAGGAAGAAUUAUAGAAAGCAACACGAAUUAUUUUCUUCAUUGUGCUUAUACUCAAAUUAGAUGAACCCGUAUCAGUUUUGAAGGGGACACCAUCUGUUAGCUCUCACUUUUUUACCACUAAGAGAAAAAAAAAAAGAAUGGACCUCAAUUUUGAUAGAGUAGAUAUGACACCUGGAGCAUGGUCUAUAUCUUACAUAUAAUAUGCUUAAUAUAAGGUCACGGUAUCACUACAUGCUACUUUAGUCCUUCAGUGGGUAGAGUUUUAAGUAAUCUUACAGAUAUAAAAUUCAAUGUGGUAUAGAUAGGACAGUGGGGAAAAAAAAAUAAAGGAAGCAAGGUCCUCUCUAAUAGUAGGUGACAACCAGAAGAGAUGUCUAUACCAGAAAAAGAUGCAAAACUGAAUCUCGUUUCUACAGACACUUCAUGAAGAGGAGAUGGGAUUGAGAGUGUUGAGAAUUAACAGAUAAGAACUUCCAAAGAAAAGCAGCAGUAGGUUACAACCUUCUGGGCUGCAGAUGACAGCAGGCAGUAGUGCCAGUGAUUUCUCCAGCACCACAAUCAAGUUAACAGCACCUCAAAAACAGAAGCACUUCAGCAAAAUCCAACAGGAAUAGGACUUCUCUUUAAGUAUUUAUGAAAGAGGAUUUUUUCUUUUAUAACAGCUCUGUUUUGCGCAUGCGGCCUGGUUACCCUGAGGAAAAUGUCCAGUGACCUGACAGAUGGGAAUUCCUCAUUCUCAUGUAACCCUGUCUGCUUUCAUUCCUAGAGAGGGCAAAUCAUUUCACAUGGAUGCUUCAGUGAUAUCUAUUGAAUCCUGGCUCAGAAAGGAGAUAAAUUAUUCUCACUAGAACAUAAUAGUAUAUAAUAUGGUGCUGGAGGUGAAAAUAACCCAUAAAAUGAGUACCAAAAUUGGACAAGUUAAAAUGUAUGCGUUGCCAGCCUAACCAACCUCUCUUAGUCUCACAGUUCUCUGACUAGCCAACAUUUAAUGUCAGUUUUAGCAGAUACAAUGUCCAAAUCACUAAAAAUUAUAUUAAGUAACACUGACUCCAAUGUGAAUCUUUAGAGCAUCCUACUAUUAACCUUUUUACACUCUUAGGAGAAGACUUUCAGUGCAAGUUUUUUGUCAUCAUUUAUUCAAUUUUUAAUCCACUGUGAGAUUUUGCCCCUUACUUCAUAGUUAUAUUUUUCUCUUAAUAGUCUUUUAUGAAAGACCAUAUCAGGAAUUUUUUUAAAAUCCAAAUACAUUAGUUCACCAGGUCACUUUUAUCUACUAUUUUAUUAACUUUUUCAAAGCACUUUAGCAGGUUAGAGAAGCAUACUUUCCCUCUACUGACGUUACGCAGGUUUGACCCUAUUAGGUUAUACUUAUCCAUGUGCUGAACUAUUCUAUCAUUAAUUAGACUUUCAAUCAGUUUUCCCAGAAGCAAGGUGAAGUUCACUGGUCUUAAUUCCCAGGAUCUCUUUUUGGUCCUUUUUUAACAACAGAUACUGUAUCAGAAAUUUUCCAAACAUCACUCAUCUAUAUCACAUCUUCCUGUGUCUCCUCUAUUUCACACUUUAUUCUGGUGAAUGCUACCUACUUUUAAUUAUUUUCAAUUUUUACAUGAUUUUAUCAAAUGACUCAGCACUUCACUUGUAAAAAACACUUUCAUUGUACAAUUUUUGCUAAUGUUGCUCUGCCUUUUAUAUUUUUAGCGCAAUUAACUACUUCAGCUGCCAUCUAUAAGAAUGAACAAGGUGAGAGUCUGUUUAACUAUUGAACUCUUUUGCUAUGGUGAAUGGAUAACCAUGGGUUUAAUUUGAUAGUCUUGGUCUUUUUAAUUAUUUUGUCCCUACAAGUCCUCAGAUGAGCAACUAUUCACUUUUGUCUUCAAAGUUAUAAAAUUUAUCCUGCAGCUUUUAGGGCUUUUUGGGGUUUAUUUUUGUGGAUACACAUGAUGAUCAACCUGAGUAGAUUAUUUUCCAGCUCACUUUGAGCACUUUGUUCUUAGAGGAAGAGAGAAAGGAAGGAUCAAAUCCUAACACCACCAUACCUAAAUGACUGGUUAGACUCACCAGCAAUAUCUAAUACCAAGAGUUAUUAAAACUGGCUUUCACGUGAAUCUGACAAAUGACAGAAAGAAGUUGUGCUUAUAUGAAAAGGUAUAGAUUUGUAUUCUGGGCUUGUGGAAGAUGUUCUCAGUCUAUGCUUUAGGUACAUAGGUUUUAAUGAUCAGGAAAUAUUGUUGAACACGAUUUUUAGUGAAAAAGCAUUGAAAAUUCCCACUGAAAUGUGUACAUGGCUAAGUAAAGGUCAGUAAGCUACUGAGUAAACCUGAAGUGCUCACAUCAGAGGAUUAGAAACUCAGAAUUUCCAGCAUUCAGUGAAGUUGGUGAAUUUUCCUCUGGAAUUCAAGACUUAGUUUACUUAACAGUCAGGUCUGAUUUGAAUGGAUGAGAAAAUUGAAAAGGAACUUCAGCCAUAUAAGGCCUCCAAGUAAGACAGUCUAGGUUUCAAACUAUGCUUUGCUUCUAUAAUAAACCCCACACUACACUAUCUUCACCUUGGUGUGAAUUUCAUUACAAAAAUAUCACAUAGUUCUAACUGUAAGUAUUAAGGUAGAUUACUGCUGGCUUGUUUUCCCUUCAAAUAGAAGUUCCAGUUUUAUCUGUGUUCAGAGAUUCUACGUGCUGCACUGUUAAGCACAGAUUUCUGCUUAAAUUAUAUUCCUAUCGUCAGCUCUAACAUAUGAAAAUAGAACACAUUUUAACGCGUGUGUUAAACAUUAAAUCAUUUUUGCUUCAGGGAAACUCUGGUAAACAGUAACUGUCAAAAACUGUAAUGACACAAAAUUAAAAUAAUAGAAAAUAGUCUGUAACAGCAGCUUUUCUUAUCAUGUUAACAGAAGUUCAGCUCUUCAUCUUCUAACUAUUCCUUUACAAAAAGCAGAAAGGUUGAGGAAGGACAGCUCAGGUACACAAAUGUACCUGUUGGACAAGAAAAGUUGGAAAUUAUCAUUGCUACCAUUCUUUGUUUCCUUACUGUGAAGUACACUUCAAUCAACGUAAGAAAAAUGCAACCAACUAAACAUAUGCAUAUUUCUUCUGUUAUGAAAAUUACCCUUUCAGUCAGGAUUUUUAAUAUAUAAACAUUUUUUUUUUACAAAAUCUUGGAAAAUAUAGGAGUAUCAUUUACACACUCUAAAUUGGUAUAAAUCCUGGAAGCCUGCAUUAUGUCAGAAAGAAACUGAUUUGAAGAAAUUAAACUGCAUCAGAAAUAUUGACAGGCAUAUAGAUUGAAUUACAUGAAUAUGAGAUACAGAUGGAACAGUUCUGCUUAGUGAUCAAUGUCAAAUGAAUUUCAAAAUUAUUUUAGUUUGUUUCUUAUGUCUUAUUUUAUGUUAGGUUUUAAUUUGGAUCAGUAAUAUGAAAUCAAAUCACUAUUUAUUAACUUUCACUUACAAACAAAAAAAAACAUCUAACUAAUAGAAGCUUAUCUGAAGUUAGAACCUUCCAUUUUACAGAGGCCGAGUAACAAUAUAGUUUAUUUUUACCGUGAUACAAAUUAUUCAAAAGCAAGAAAUAAAACCUGAGAUUUGAAAGUUUCCACCUAUUAAUGUAGUACGUAACUGAUGCACACAGGCUGUAUGGUGAGGUUGCAUUGCCCCCUAUAGUCACUGUGUGUCAGCUGGGAGGGGAGGGGGAAGAGAAAGAGAAGAGUGGGAGAAAUUAUUUGCCAAAAGUAUGAUGCAUUUGGGUUUGAUUCACACUUUGGAAAGGGCAUGGUUGGGAGCAAUGGUCAAGUCUAACCCGGGGCCAUGCUGUUCAAGAAGAAUUUGUAUGCAUUAUUCUCCAAGUACAUAUGGACGAAAUAAAAAGUGUUCACAUUCGGAUCAGAAGAGCUCUGCAGCUCCUGUGGUCUGGCUGUGUUUGGGGUGCAUUUGUUUGACGCUGGUACCUGCACACUGACAGCACACCAGGGAUGCCAGCAUACCUGCCUGUGGACUCAGAUGCAGAAGGUGGUUGACUUUGGUUUGCCAGCGAAAGGCAGGAGGGCCUAUAGGUGACAGCUCUUUUGCACUCAGUGGACACACCUUUGGGGGUUGAGCAUAACAGGGACAUUUCACUCCAAGCACACAGGACUCUAAAAGCCCGAAUUGUGGCAUCAAUACACAGACUACUUUUUGAAGCAGCUUCAGCACAAGGACUAGAAAGAGAGAGAAAAGGCUCAAAUACAGGUUCCUCUUCAGUAGUAGGAGCAACUGCAAAGGGCACAGCCAGUUUAUUCAUGCUGCCCAUGGACACUGGCAAUGCUGCUCUUUCAUAGCCCUUGGGCUUAGCAGGGGCAGGAUGUUUCCCAAAUUCCUGCAGAAUAAUAUGCCACUUUUAACCACCAGCACAAGGACAAAGCUACAUUCCAGGACUCAGAUUUUCCAGUCAAGCCCAUCUUUCUUAACUUUGCUGUAAACUAAAAAAAUCUUACCUCCUCAUAAAACUAACUGAAUCUCGGCAGCUGUCCUAAUACUUUUCUCUUAUGAACAUAAUUAUGCACAGCAUUCAGUAUAUCUUUUAACAGGUACAGACACAAUAUAACAAAAAACAUUACAUUCUUGAGGAUAUCUUAAAAAUAUCUAAUCAACUACUGAUGCUACUGUGCCAAAAACUUAAUGGAAAGUACAGAUGUUCAAUAAGCUCAAGAUCAACACCCUCUCUCUUAGGGUGCAAUACCCUGUUAUCACUAUUUGUCUUAUUUCUGGGGACAGCUUUUCUACUCCCACAGUUCUACGCACUACUCCCAUAGUUCUAGCUAGCAAAGGUUAGUGCUGCUUUUAAGAGGUGAUAGUUCUGAUUUUUGAAUCUUCUACCUCUUUUCCUUUAGUGGCAGAAGCAGGUUUGUAGAGACACGAUGAACUGAUUGGAAAACUUAUGCAGCUAAAAUCCUAGAUUUUUUCUUACCAUAUGAUUUUUAAUUUGGAUCAGUUGUUGAGGCUCACUAUGUAGCAGCACCCAUGCUUGCACUUGUACAAAGAAAGAAGAAAAAGAAAUAGUAACAGUAGGUUAUGGUAACAGCUUAACUCCACAGCAGUGAUGUCUUGUGUCAAUUGGAGUUGUUUGUGUACCUAUGGUUUCAAGAAUAUGAAUUGUCAUUAAAAUGCCUUUAUAUUUCAUUCUGUCUGAGAAAAAGUAUUAUGAGUGUUCCCAUUCACAUAUCUUCAAAAAUACUCUCUGUCUAGACAGAAAAGACAGUCCUGCAAAGUGGAGCUGAACAACAUGUUUAGUUUUUGUGAAUAUAUGCCCAGACAUAGUCCCAUAUCAAUUCUUUAUUUUACUACGAUGACUAAAGACUCAAUAAUGACUAAGCUACUGAUGAGAUGUGAUUGCUGCUUACCCAGCAGAUCAAUACUGUCUCACUGCCUCCUGAUGUGAAGGGGUGUAUCCUGAUAGCAUUCAGCUGUUCGAUUAUCUUACUCUUAACUGCAAGCUCUCUGAAGCAGGGUCAGGUUUUUGUUCUGUUAGCCCUGCAGCUAGCACAAGUUCUACAGCUCAUUGUCCUGGGUUCAGCUGUAACAGUUAUUUUUCUCCUUCCUAGUAGCUGGUGCAGUGCUAUGUUUUGGCUUUAGUUUGAGAACAAUGCUGAUAACACACCGAUGUUUUAGUUGUUGCUCAGUAAUGCUUACCCCUAUCAAGGACUUUUCAGUCUCUCAUGCUCUGCCAGUGAGGAGGGGCACAAGAAGCCAGGAGGGAGCAGAGACAGGACACCUGACCCAAAUCAGCCAAAGGGGUAUUCCAUAUCACAGCACGUCAUGCCCAGAAUGUAAACUGGGGGGGAGUCACCUGGAAGGCCUGAUCACUGCUUGGGUUGGGCUGGGUAUCAGUCAAUGGGUGGUGAGCAAUUGUAUUGUGCAUCACCUGUGUUUAUUGUUUUUUUUGUCCUGGAUACACUGAAGCACAGUUGCACAAUAGAUACCACUGUGUGGUAAUUCAGCUAACACAAACGUCUAACAGUGAGCAAUUCAAUCCUAUGUUAUUAAUUAUCUUCGCCCUUUAUGUAUUUUCACUCAGCUAUUACUUUUUUGUUACUUAUGUGUUUGUAUUCAAACACAUGUAUGCACAUACAUUAUGUUAUUUCACUGUUUUCUUCAACCAACACAAUUUGAUUCUGUCUAAAGAACAUACAAGUAGUAUGUUCUACUACCCAUGAAAAUGGGAGACUUUCCUCAUGUUACCAGCAUAUGGUGCCUUCAUGCUAAAGAACCAAAACCCACUGUGUGACACAUGUCCAUCCUCAUAAAUGUGGAACCAGCUUUCAGCAGUGGCGCACUAUGUAACUGGUGCAGAAGACUGAUACAUUUGGGGAAACAACAUUUCUGAAUGCCAAACAUACAAAGAUGAGCCACGAAAUCUUAUGAAUUAUCCAUGCAGAGCAGACAGAAUACUUGUUUUCAAGGUCAAAUGAGAAAGAUCCCCUGCCCUGUGUGGUAAACUACACAUUAAUACAUUUAUCCAUCUUUGGAAUGUAAGGGACAAAGUCAACAUAGAAAAAUAAACCAGUGGGGUAAGACAGCCAAGCUACCAAAAUCAUUAUGCCAUCUGUUCUGCUGGCAUUUUUAAUGUCUGUGCAGGGCACACACAAUGAAAAAUAGAUCUCUAAUUCAAAUUUUAGUUUCUUCUAAACUGGAUUGCAGUAUCAAAUAUAUUUACAUUCUUUGGAUAACCCUUAAUUGGUUUUGGUUUACAUACUGGUUUUUUCAUAUUUGUUUAGCCACCUCAUAACUGAGGCAACAGAAAGAAAGAGUAAAAUAAACCAAUACUAGAUUUUUUAAAGGGAAAUUGCAGUAGUGUCUCAUAAAUGCUUCUACACUUCCCACUGGCCUUCACCAACAUACUUGAAGCUGGCAUGAUCCUCUCAAAAUAAUACGUUUUGUUGUUGUCAACACUAACAUUUAAAGGAUAACAAUUCAGAAAAGAGGCAAGGCGGUCAAUUGAUUCCUCCUGAAUACUGUGGACAAGCAACACUCAAGUUUGGUUCCUGAACCUGAUGGGCUGUUGAAGCACAGCUCUUUGAUGGUUUGAGAGAAGGCAAUUGUACUACCAGGGGAGGAGACCAGAGAAUGAAUUCUGACUGGGAAUGUCAAGUUUAAACUCUCUAGUAGUGCAAAGGGGUUCAGAAGUGAAUGCAAAUCUAUCCUAAAGCCCUUUACAUUAGCAGAAUCGGGUAAAAAGGUCUUGUUGGGACUCAGAGAACCACAAUUUCUCUUGCUUUUCUCUUGCCUUACCAGGAAGAAUAAAUGAUUUGGCUCCUUCACAGGGCACUGUCCCUGCCUUGCAUUUCAUCAGCCCCAUCACAGUGAACUCAGAAUUUCUGACAUUCCCCACUAGACUUUUUUCUCCCCCCUGCAGUCACAGUGAGAGAAGCAGAUGCAUCUUUUCCAUUCCUCCCACUGCAGUAUUGGAAAAUCUGAGCUGGACCGUGCACUUGUAUAAGAGGAUUCUAGCCAGCAAUAUAAAGGCUAUGGCAUGUGGUAAGUGUAAUGUAGCAGCCUACAUAUAUUUCAGGUUUUCUAAAUCAUUGGGAUGGUAUUAGAAAAAAAUAAUUUUUAACAUUUACAUCUCUGAUGACUGUAGAGUGGUAGGAUCUUGCAGCAAACAUUUCAGAGUGUUCAUCGCUGUGCUAUUUGGUUUCUCUACACAGGCAGUUAGUUUAAUUUCUUAUAUAUCCACGUCAUUUUUCUUUCAUAUUAAUAUUCCCAUAUGACAAGUACAUUACUUCAACCUGCUGAAUUGAUUUUCAAGAGGAAUCUUGGUAUACAUAAAUUGUUACUUCUCAUGAAACUUUUCAAAAAAUGGCCAGAUUCAAUUCUAUCCUUUGUAAGGAGCAUGAAGGAGUAUAAUGUGCCCAUGCCCCAUAAAACAGUCUAGCUGCUCUUCAUGGUAUUGUUUAGUUCUCAUUUGUUGGUUUUGUUUAGUUUGAUAUGAUACUACGGAAUAAUAAAAGCAUUAAAAUUGCAUGAAUGCGGUAUUGGUAAAAUACCACUACUGUUGGUCAAGUACUAAUGAAAAAUGAAUGCAAUUCCUCACCGAAUUCGGACUGCCAUUUUAAAAGCAAUCAUCUAAAACCAGGCAGUGUUUAGAAAUGCAUGACUACGAUGUUUACCC
ensembl:lncRNA